GACGAAGGAUGCAAGCGUUAUCCGGAUUCAUUGGGUUUAAAGGGAGCGUAGGUGGUCUGCUAAGUCAGUGGUGAAAUCUUCUCGCUUAACGAGAAAACUGCCAUUGAUACUGGUGGACUUGAGUACAGAUGCCGUUGGCGGAAUAUGACAUGUAGUGGUGAAAUACAUAGAGAUGUCAUAGAACACCGAUUGCGAAGGCAGCUUACUAAACAGAUAUUGACGCUGAGGCACGAAAGCGUGGGGAUCAAACAGG
rnacentral:rRNA from 1 species